AUACUUACCUGGUGUCGGGGCCUCGUUAAUCACUGAAGACGAGCCCCCACGGCAGGGCGCGGGCAUUCCGCCGCGCUCGCGCUCACCACUGCCACUAACCCGAAGUGCACAAGGACCAGGUGUGGCAUGCAAAUUGAUUGGAUCCGGUUCGAC
rnacentral:snRNA from 1 species